rnacentral:rRNA from 1 species
UCCACGCCGUAAACGAUGAAUACUAGAUGUUGGCCCUAUUUUGGGUCAGUGUCGCAGCUAACGCAUUAAGUAUUCCACCUGGGGAGUACGAUCGCAAGGUUGAAACUCAAAGGAAUUGACGGGGGCCCGCACAAGCAGUGGAGCAUGUGGUUUAAUUCGAUGCAACGCGAAGAACCUUACCUGGGCUUGAAAUAUAAUAGACCGGUUGCGAAAGCAACCUUCUCUUCGGAGCU